GCCAGGCGCAGUGGCGCAUGCCUGGAGUCCCAGCUACUUAGGAGGCUGAGGUGGGAGGACUGCUUGAGCCCAGGAGGUCGAGGCUGCAGUGAGCUGUCACUGUGCCACUGCACUCCAGCCUGGGCAACAGAGCAAGACCCUGUCUCAA
rnacentral:sRNA from 1 species